AUGGUUGAUUUGUCGUGGGUAGUAGCCGGUGAUUUCAAUGAAAUCUUGCAUGGAUUCGAGAAAGACGGGGGUAACAUCAGGCCCCAACGAUGCAUGCGGGCUUUUAGAGAUGUACUAGAUGAAUGUAAUCUGGAAGAUCAGGGAUAUCACGGUGACAUUUUCACUUGGAGACAAGGUCAAAUCAGGGAGAGACUUGAUAGGGCGGUCAGUAAUCAUGGUUGGACCACCAUGUUUCCCCAUCAUGGAGUGACCAAUGAAGAGUUUAACAAGUCUGAUCAUCGCCGAUUCUUAUUGAUACUAUUUAUUCUGAACGGGUGCAGACUAUGA
rnacentral:rRNA from 1 species